rnacentral:tRNA from 1 species
GAGCCGCUAGCUCAUCCGGUAGAGCACCGGCCUUUUGCCGGGUGUACCGGGUUCGAGUCCCGGGCGGCUCA